rnacentral:rRNA from 1 species
GAUGAACGCUGGCGGCGCGCCUAAUACAUGCGAGUCGAGCGAACAGACGAGGAGCUUGCUCCUCUGACGUUAGCGGCGGACGGGUGAGUAACACGUGGAUAACCUACCUAUAAGACUGGGAUAACUUCGGGAAACCGGAGCUAAUACCGGAUAAUAUAUUGAACCGCAUGGUUCAAUAGUGAAAGACGGUUUUGCUGUCACUUAUAGAUGGAUCCGCGCCGCAUUAGCUAGUUGGUAAGGUAACGGCUUACCAAGGCAACGAUGCGUAGCCGACCUGAGAGGGUGAUCGGCCACACUGGAACUGAGACACGGUCCAGACUCCUACGGGAGGCAGCAGUAGGGAAUCUUCCGCAAUGGGCGAAAGCCUGACGGAGCAACGCCGCGUGAGUGAUGAAGGUCUUCGGAUCGUAAAACUCUGUUAUUAGGGAAGAACAAAUGUGUAAGUAACUAUGCACGUCUUGACGGUACCUAAUCAGAAAGCCACGGCUAACUACGUG